rnacentral:rRNA from 1 species
GUCCUACGGGGGGCAGCAGUGGGGGAUAUUGCACAAUGGGGGCAACCCUGAUGCAGCGACGCCGCGUGAGCGAUGGAGUACUUCGGUAUGUAAAGCUCUGUCAGCAGGGAAGAAAAUGACGGUACCUGAAGAAGAAGCCCCGGCUAACUACGUGCCAGCAGCCGCGGUAAUACGUAGGGGGCAAGCGUUAUCCGGAAUGAUUGGGCGUAAAGGGUGCGCAGGCGGUCCUGCAAGUCUGGAGUGAAACGCAUGAGCUCAACUCAUGCAUGGCUUUGGAAACUGGAGGACUGGAGAGCAG